UAUCGCUCCUAACUUUUAGGUCAACUUCGUCUUUCUUUUGAGUCCUUUCCUCUAAAGUCUCUGUCUUCUUCAGAGUCAUUCUCAUGGCUAGGACUUCUCCUUCUCGGAAAGAUCGGUCAGAGAAUCCGACUGAUGAAUCCCAGUCAAGUUCGGAUGUGGAGGCCUCUUCACUUUCGGAACCAAACGUUGAACGACUUCGGGAGCAGUUUUGUAUCCCGGAGCAGUUUCAAUUUUUUGCCCCUGGGGCCG
rnacentral:lncRNA from 1 species